UGUUUGUUUUUCUUGUGAUGAUGAAGGUACAAGUCCCUGAAGAGGCAGCAGAAGCUAGAGCUGCUUUUAGGAAGCUGUGGGUGGCCCAGGCCUCUUUCCUUAGGCAAGCUGACACCAUUGGUUGAUUUGUAGAUAUUGAAAAAUCUUUGUAUCUGUGGGAUAAAUUCCACUUGAUCAUGGUGUGUGAUCCUUUUAAUGUAUUGUUGGAUUCAGUUUGUUAGUAUUUUGUUGAGGAUUUUUGUGUCUAUAUUCAUCUGUGAUAUUGGCCUGUA
rfam:Ovis aries breed Texel chromosome 4, whole genome shotgun sequence.